GAAUUGCUAGUAAUCGCAGAUCAGCAUGCUGCGGUGAAUACGUUCCCGGGCCUUGUACACACCGCCCGUCACACCAUGGGAGUCGGUAACACCCGAAGUCGGUAGCCUAACCGUAAGGAGGGCGCCGCCGAAGGUGGGAUUGAUGACUGGGGUGAAGUCGUAACAAGGUAUC
rnacentral:rRNA from 1 species